AUGUGCUAUCGGAGGUGCUUUGAAAGAAACGACUGCACAUGCCACCCAAGAUCCUCUGAGAGCCACUAUUGCACAUGCUACCCGAGGUGCUUCAAGAGGUGCUGCUGCACGUGCCAUCCGAAGGGUUUUAAGUGGUGCUGCAGCACCUGCUACCCAAGGUGCUUCCAGGGGUGCUGCUGCACCUGCUACGGAAGGUGCUCUGAAAGGUGUUGGUGCAUGUGUUAUUCGAGAUGCUGCCAAAGGUGCUCCUGCAUAUGCCGUGCCACAACCAGGUUGGGCUUUAUCCCAGUUGCAGGUGCUUCCCAAGAAACGCAAGGAAAAAAACUAUAAACUUAGAUCUUCAGGUAGUCCGGAAAGAAAGAAAAAGAGACCCAGUGAAGCAGAGCACAAAUGGGUGUCAUACAGUGUCACAAAUGCUCCUCAAGUUCAGCAAGGAUACCCAUGGAAUGGCUUCCCCAAACCUGAUAUUCCAAGGCCUCUGAGACGUAAGAUCCCUGUGUUGCUACCACCCCAUAGUCGAGGUGUUCUGCCCCAACCCCCAAAACAAUGGUUUCAUAUCACUGUACACAACUGUGGCCUAGAGAAGGAAGCUGCAC
rnacentral:lncRNA from 1 species